UAGUGGAAAUAUGGUCGCUGACUUCU
rnacentral:piRNA from 1 species